rnacentral:rRNA from 1 species
GAUGAACGCUGGCGGCGUGCCUAAUACAUGCAAGUCGAGCGAACAGGCGAGGAGCUUGCUCCUCUGACGUUAGCGGCGGACGGGUGAGUAACACGUGGAUAACCUACCUAUAAGACUGGGAUAACUUCGGGAAACCGGAGCUAAUACCGGAUAAUAUAUUGAACCGCAUGGUUCAAUAGUGAAAGACGGUUUUGCUGUCACUUAUAGAUGGAUCCGCGCCGCAUUAGCUAGUUGGUAAGGUAACGGCUUACCAAGGCAACGAUGCGUAGCCGACCUGAGAGGGUGAUCGGCCACACUGGAACUGAGACACGGUCCAGACUCCUACGGGAGGCAGCAAUAGGGAAUCUUCCGCAAAGGGCGAAAGCCUGACGGAGCAACGCCGCGUGAGUGAUGAAGGUCUUCGGAUCGUAAAACUCUGUUAUUAGGGAAGAACAAAUGUGUAAGUAACUAUGCACGUCUUGACGGUACCUAAUCAGAAAGCCACGGCUAACUACGUG